GCCCCAGACUCCUACGGGAGGCAGCAGUGGGGGAUAUUGCACAAUGGGGGGAACCCUGAUGCAGCGACGCCGCGUGGGUGAAGGAGCGUUUCGGCGCGUAAAGCCCUAUCGGCAGGGAAGAAGGAGGACGGUACCUGACUAAGAAGCCCCGGCUAACUACGUGCCAGCAGCCGCGGUAAUACGUAGGGGGCAAGCGUUAUCCGGAUUUACUGGGUGUAAAGGGAGCGUAGACGGCGUCGCAAGUCUGAAGUGAAAGCCCGUGGCUCAACCGCGGAACCGCUUUGGAAACUGCGAGGCUGGAGUGCUGGAGAGGUAAGCGGAAUUCCUGGUGUAGCGGUGAAAUGCGUAGAUAUCAGGAGGAACACCGGUGGCGAAGGCGGCUUACUGGACAGUGACUGACGUUGAGGCUCGAAAGCGUGGGGAGCGAACAGGAUUAGAUACCCUGGUA
rnacentral:rRNA from 1 species